UUCAAAAGAUGUAAGAUUCAAGAACAAAACCGUAGGUUUUAUUUGCAAUAUGGUAUGAUGAUGCCAUCCACAUCAAAUUAAAUUACAAAGAUGUUAUUCUUCUUCCAAAAAACAUUUCUGUCAUUUUCCAAACAUACACCCCUUAUUACAACUUUAGUUUCACAAUCACUUUGGUAAAGAUUUAACAACUUUCACUACCACAAAAGAAGCGAGCAUGUCUGGAAAGAAAAUAAAUAAAAUACUUAGAAGGCUUCAUCCCUGUAACAAUUUGGUGACAGCUUUGUGACACAAAACAUGAAACAGAAAACUUUGAAAAAGUUUUUGAAUAGGAAUAACAAAAUUUAAAAUUGAAACACAUCACUGUAUAUAGUCAUACAGAGUUGAUAACAAUCAAGGAGGCAGCCCUUGAACAUAGUGUUCUUUCUGGAAUUCAUUCCACUAUGGACUGUAGUGCAAAUCUGUCUUCCCAUCUAAAAUAGCUCUAGAUGGGGACAAAUGUUAAAAUAAAAUUAAAAAACUAUGUAUCCUACCCAGGUUUGGAUAAAGCCUUUGUUGAGUUCGUCAUCCUAUCCUAUCUGUUUAUCUUAUUCACAAAUAAUUUCACACACCAAUAUGGCUGUAAACAACUUAUCCUUGGUUUACGUAUACUCCCAGCACAAAAGGUUCACAUGAGUUGAACUAAAGCAAAUUAUGCAUAUUGCACCAGGGCAGAGUGGCAUGAAGAAUUCAUCCUCACAAUUGAACUAAAGGAAAUUAUGCAUAUUUCUGCGGGGCUGAAUGACAUGAAGAAGUGCACUUUCACCUAUUACACCAAUAUGGUUGUAAACAACUCAUCCUCAUAAUUUUGUUAAAGUAUACACCCUGCACAAAACGUUCACCUGAGUUGAACUAAAGGAAAUUAUGCAUAUUCCCCAGAGAAGAAGAAGAGACAUGAUGAAGUAGAAGUGAUGUGAAAGCAAAACCAAUAUUUUUUAUGCCAGAGAAACAUAUGUUGCUUAGGACAUAAAAAUAUUAAAGAAUCAGAAAAUAAGUUCUUACUGCUGUUCCAAGGAGGGAAAAAAAUUAAAAAUGUUACCUGAAAUGGCAUUCUAGUAAAAGGGUCAAUAUCACCUCUUGCUAUACCUUUUGCUAUAUGUUGAGGUAUCGAUGUGUCC